rnacentral:misc_RNA from 1 species
GAUGAAGAACGCAGCGAAAUGCGAUACUUGGUGUGAAUUGCAGAAUCCCGUGAACCAUCGAGUCUUUGAACGCAAGUUGCGCCCGAAGCCAUUAGGCCGAGGGCACGCCUGCCUGGGCGUCACACGUCGUUGCCCCCCCAUCUACUCCUUCGGGAUUGCGGGGGGCGGAUGAUGGCCUCCCGUGCGCCUCGCCGCGCGGUUGGCAUAAAUGCCAAGUCCUCGGCGACGCACGCCACGACAAUCGGUGGUUGCGAAACCUCGGUUCCCCGUCGUGUGCGGUCGUCGCGCAUCGAGGGCUCGAAAAAAUUGCCGGGUUCCGGCUCGGCUUUCAACGCGACCCCAGGUCAGGCGGGGUUACCCGCUGAAUUUAAGCAUAUCAAUAAGCGGAGGA